CCACCGGGCGUCGGAGCUGGCCCAGAGCCCGCGGGGGGGGACGCCCCCGCCUGCAGCCCUUCCCCGCCGCCACCCCUCGGGGGCCGUGGGCAGCGUCUCGCGUGGGGGGGGCACGUUGGCCCCGCCCAGGGCUUCACACUCAUUUUCCCCGAGCGGCCCAGGAGCGCGUAAUCGGCGGGUCCGCCGGUGCGGGGCUUCAUUGCCGGGCGCGACGAGCGGCUCGGUGCAGCGGGGGCGCCCCGGGCCCUGCCUGCUGCAAAUGCCCGCGCUGCAGCGACGUACUCUGCUACAAGAACACUGCAAACAGAGUUAAUCAGUGGUGAAUUCAACAGACAGGUGGAGGGCUGAACAGGCCUGGACAACAAACUCCCCUCUCACCAUUUAGAGGGGGUCCCACCAGUUCAGAGGAUAGAUUGUGCUGUCAUUGUUGCUGUUCUGCGUGGGGAAACACAAUGGCUCAGAUUACAGGGUAUGAACUGCUCAUUUCGCUGCCCUCCCUCUGAGAUUUGGAGGCAUCUUCCCCAUCCCUCCUGUGCAUUCCUGACCUCAGAAAUCCUGAUUCAUGCAACUAAACUUAAAGAAAACUUUUUAGAUGACAAAGAAAUGCAUCCUGCUUGUACAUCCCUCAUUCCAGACUUUUGGCCACAUGUUGAAAUUCCCAGUGACGAUCAGACUGAUAAAAAUCAGAACAUCUUCUCCUCGAUCUUAAAUCCAGCCAGAAGCCACCAUUUGUUGCUUGAGCCAGACCUCUUGAUAAUCCAACCUAUCCAGCACUAGGGGCAUGAUCCUCAGCUGGUGUCAAUUGGCAUAGAUU